rnacentral:rRNA from 1 species
UACGUAGGGGGCAAGCGUUGUCCGGAGUUACUGGGCGUAAAGCGCCCGCAGGCGGUCUUUUAAGUUUGGAGUGACAGUUGGUGGCUUAACUGCCAAAGUGCUUCGAAAACUGAAAGACUUGAGGGCUUCAGAGGGACACGGAAUUCCGGGUGGAGUGGUGAAAUGCGUAGAGAUCCGGAAGAACACCAGUGGCGAAGGCGGCCCGCUGGGCAGUGGCUGACGCUGAGGCGCGACAGCGUGGGGAGCAAACAGG